UACGUAGGGUCCAAGCGUUGUCCGGAUUUAUUGGGCGUAAAGAGCUCGUAGGCGGCUCAGUAAGUCGGAUGUGAAAACUCGGGGCUCAACCCCGAGACGCCAUCCGAUACUGCUGUGGCUUGAGUCUGGUAGGGGAACACGGAAUUCCUGGUGUAGCGGUGAAAUGCGCAGAUAUCGGGAGGAACACCAAUGGCGAAGGCAGCUCGCUGGGACGGUACUGACGCUGAGACGCGAAAGCGUGGGGAGCAAACAGG
rnacentral:rRNA from 1 species